rnacentral:rRNA from 1 species
UGGGGAAUAUUGGACAAUGGGCGAAAGCCUGAUCCAGCCAUGCCGCGUGUUUGAAGAAGGUCUUCGGAUUGUAAAGCACUUUAAGUUGGGAGGAAGGGCAGUAAGCGAAUACCUUGCUGUUUUGACGUUACCGACAGAAUAAGCACCGGCUAACUCUGUGCCAGCAGCCGCGGUAAUACAGAGGGUGCAAGCGUUAAUCGGAAUUACUGGGCGUAAAGCGCGCGUAGGUGGUUCGUUAAGUUGAAUGUGAAAGCCCCGGGCUCAACCUGGGAACUGCAUCCAGAACUGGCGAGCUAGAGGAGGGCAGAGGGUGGUGGAAUUUCCUGUGUAGCGGUGAAAUGCGUAGAUAUAGGAAGGAACACCAGUGGCGAAGGCGACCACCUGGGCUCAUACUGACACUGAGGUGCGAAAGCGUGGGGAGCAAACAGG